rnacentral:rRNA from 1 species
ACGAACGCUGGCGGCGUGCUUAACACAUGCAAGUCGAACGGUGAAGCGCCUUCCUUUUUGGUGGGUGUGGAUGAGUGGCGAACGGGUGAGUAACACGUGAGUAACCUGCCCCCUUCUUCUGGAUAACCGCAUGAAAGUGUGGCUAAUACGGGAUAUUCUGGGUCUGUCGCAUGAUGGGUCUGGGAAAGAUAUUGUUUCGGUGGGGGAUGGGCUCGCGGCCUAUCAGCUUGUUGGUGGGGUGAUGGCCUACCAAGGCGGUGACGGGUAGCCGGCCUGAGAGGGUGGACGGUCACACUGGGACUGAGACACGGCCCAGACUCCUACGGGAGGCAGCAGUGGGGAAUAUUGCACAAUGGGCGCAAGCCUGAUGCAGCGACGCCGCGUGAGGGAUGGAGGCCUUCGGGUUGUGAACCUCUUUCGCCAGUGAAGCAGGCCUGCCUCGUUUGUGGGUGGGUUGACGGUAGCUGGAGAGGAAGCGCCGGCUAACUACGUG